rnacentral:rRNA from 1 species
UGGCGAACGGGUGAGUAACACGUGAGUAACCUGCCCUUGACUCUGGGAUAAGCCUGGGAAACUGGGUCUAAUACCGGAUAGGAACGUCCACCGCAUGGUGGUUGUUGGAAAGAUUUAUCGGUCAUGGAUGGACUCGCGGCCUAUCAGCUUGUUGGUGAGGUAAUGGCUCACCAAGGCGACGACGGGUAGCCGGCCUGAGAGGGUGACCGGCCACACUGGGACUGAGACACGGCCCAGACUCCUACGGGAGGCAGCAGUGGGGAAUAUUGCACAAUGGGCGAAAGCCUGAUGCAGCGACGCCGCGUGAGGGAUGACGGCCUUCGGGUUGUAGACCUCUUUCAGUAGGGAAGAAGCGAAAGUGACGGUACCUGCAGAAGAAGCACCGGCUAACUACGUGCCAGCAGCCGCGGUAAUACGUAGGGUGCGAGCGUUAUCCGGAAUUAUUGGGCGUAAAGAGCUCGUAGGCGGUUUGUCGCGUCUGUCGUGAAAGUCCGGGGCUUAACCCCGGAUCUGCGGUGGGUACGGGCAGACUAGAGCGCAGUAGGGGAGACUGGAAUUCCUGGUGUAGCGGUGGAAUGCGCAGAUAUCAGGAGGAACACCGAUGGCGAAGGCAGGUCUCUGGGCUGUAACCGACGCUGAGGAGCGAAAGCAUGGGGAGCGAACAGGAUUAGAUACCCUGGUAGUCCAUGCCGUAAACGUUGGGCACU